rnacentral:rRNA from 1 species
UGGGGAAUAUUGCACAAUGGGCGCAAGCCUGAUGCAGCCAUGCCGCGUGUAUGAAGAAGGCCUUCGGGUUGUAAAGUACUUUCAGUCGGGAGGAAGGUGUCAAGGUUAAUAACCUUGGCAAUUGACGUUACCGACAGAAGAAGCACCGGCUAACUCCGUGCCAGCAGCCGCGGUAAUACGGAGGGUGCAAGCGUUAAUCGGAAUUACUGGGCGUAAAGUGCACGCAGGCGGUUGAUUGAGUCAGAUGUGAAAUCCCCGGGCUUAACCCGGGAAUUGCAUCUGAUACUGGUCAGCUAGAGUCUUGUAGAGGGGGGUAGAAUUCCAUGUGUAGCGGUGAAAUGCGUAGAGAUGUGGAGGAAUACCGGUGGCGAAGGCGGCCCCCUGGACAAAGACUGACGCUCAGGUGCGAAAGCGUGGGGAGCAAACAGG